GAGUUAAGAAAACUUUUACUUUGAGCUAUUUACAGCCUUUAGCAAUUGAGUAAAGUAUACUUCUGUGGAAAAAAAAAAUGGACCAUAUUUGUUUCUCUCUACCUGAUUUCUCCAGAAUUUGGAGACUGUUUGAAUGAAACUUGACUUAUAGAGCCAAUAAAAACCCCUUGGGGAACUGACCUUCUACCUUGCCUACACAGUCCCUAUACAGGGUUUCUGGCCUGUGGUGAAACAAAUUGAAGAUAAUGCCACUAACUAAUGAAAGCCACCCUGAAGAAUUUAUUCUGCUAGGCUUUGCAGACCGCCCUUGGCUAGAGCUUCCUCUGUUCACUAGUCUUCUUAUAAUGUACCCUAUAGCCGUGAUGGGAAACAUCACAAUCAUUCUCAUGUCCAGGUUAGACUCUCGUCUUCAUAGCCCCAUGUAUUUCUUCCUCACCAACCUCUCCUUUUUGGACAUGUGUUAUACCACAAGCAUUGUCCCUCAGAUGCUGUUUAACCUGGGAAGCUCUAAGAAGACCAUCAGCUAUAUGGGGUGUGCGGUUCAGCUUUAUUUCUUUCACAUAAUGGGGGGAACAGAAUGUUUGCUUUUGGCUAUUAUGUCCUUUGAUCGCUAUGUGGCCAUCUGCAGACCUCUUCACUACACCCUCAUCAUGAAUCAGCGCGUCUGUAUCCUUAGUUUCCACCGUGUGGCUAAUUGGAAUAAUCUAUGCUGUCUCAGAGGCCACUGCCACAUUACAAUUGCCACUGUGUGGUCUCAAUAAACUGGACCACUUGGUGUGUGAGAUUCCUGUUCUGAUAAAGAUUGCCUGUGGUGAAAAGGGUUCUAACGAGCUCACACUCUCUGUGGUAUGCAUUUUUAUGUUAGCUGUCCCACUAUGCUUAAUUCUUGCUUCCUAUGCUAGUAUUGGAAGUGCUGUAUUUAAGAUCAAAUCUUCCAAGGGAAGGAAAAAGGCCUUUGGGACAUGCUCCUCCCAUCUUAUUGUAGUUUUCUUAUUUUAUGGCCCAGCCAUCAGCAUGUACCUUCAGCCCCCCUCCUCCAUCUCAAGGGAUCAACCCAAGUUCAUGGCCCUCUUCUAUGGAGUGGUGACUCCCUCACUCAACCCUUUUAUCUACACCCUGCGGAAUAAGAAUGUAAAGGGGGCAUUACGCAACUUGGUGAGGAGCAUUUUCAGCUUUAAGUGAUAGUGGGUAGACAUAAAAUGAAGUUAUUGAACAGUUAGAGUAGGUUGCUAUGGUUUUAUCUAACAAAUUCUUGUCUCAUAAUCAAAUAUCGCUUUACAUGUUCUUGCAAAAUAUGUUAUGUCUCCGAGACUCUUUGUAAACAUGUUCAGCAAGGAUUAUACUUGGCUAGUAGGCACAUUAUAUUAUGGAAAUAUAUUAAAAUAGUUCUAUACUGGUUGGUACAUACAGAGAUAGUAACUGUGUUAAGUAGUAAAAAAAUUAGUAAAAUGAAUUUAUUAGUUCAAGCUAAUUGUAAAAAUAGUAUAGCAACCACUCAUCAAUGAGCCUCCUGUCAGAGUCACCUGAGAAACAUUCCAUCACUCUCUGCAUGUUGUCCCAAGUCUAAAUGGGCAGUGUGGCUACACUGGGCAUUCAAUGUGAAGCACAUUAUACUUUGGAAUAAUCAUGAGUCUCAUAAGCUUAUCAACCCC
ensembl:lncRNA novel transcript